GAAAAUCUUAUAGGUUCUUUAUAAGUGCUUUUUAAGCCCGCCGUACCUUGGCCUUAGUGGGAUGCUCAAAGUAAAUUUUUGUGUUUUGAUAUGAAAAAUAAUAUAAUUCUUGUGAAUUCAGCACUAAUAAGUACAAUAACUGAAAUUCAAGGACUAAAUUUUAUUUAUAGAAUAACUUCAACAUAUAAUUUGCUAAUUUACUCAAUAAAACAUGUAUCUAUAUUUAAACAUGAAGUUGUAUUGAUUGUGUGUAUAGUAUGGUAAGCUUCAAUGAAAAUAUUUGACAAUAGAAACUUUGUAUGGCAUGCCUUUUUGCUGCCAAUAUUGUGCAUUGUUUGGUAGUUUCUUAGUUUUUGUUGAAAUAUCUUUGUUGACUAUUAUACUUUUUCUUUCAACAAUGUUGAAUUUGUGGUUAGAUUGCUUCGAGUAAUACUUCUCUUUUUGUUAUUUGAGGGAAGAGCUGCAAUUGGCACUAUUGAAGACCCCAUUUGGUGAGAAUCUUUUUCUUGAUAAGGUGGCGAAAAUGGAGACGUCAAAGAAAAUCAUGCAUGAGGGUUAUGGAAAUUACUCGGGGUGACGAUAUUUUGUACUAUUUAAAGAAUUUCAUUUUUGUUGUUAGUUGGUAGAGGACAAGCAUAGAAUUCAUUAUAUAUAACGUGACUUGUAUUUUUAAACUCUUGAAUUCCUUCAGUUCUUUUAUUCAUAUAAAAAGAGUGCCUAAUGUUUUCUUUAUCGGUGGGACUAAUUUAUGGAGAUGAUGCAUUGGCCAUUUGAUUAUUUCUAUGCUUUUAUGCUCAGGUUGAGAAGCUUGUUGAGAAAUUAGAGUUUUAAACUCAGGAUUUAUUUUGUAUUGAGUAUUAAUGUAUAAAACAAUUAUAGAAAAAAAUGUCACUAAUUACUGUUUGAUUUGCCAUGUAAUAAAAAUUGCAUACUAAAAAGGAUUGAAUAUUUAUAUUG